CCGUUGGGCUGCACCUGAUCGCUUCCGCGCAACCGACGAUACGGAUUGUGAAAGUCAAGAAGAACUCCUCUAAAUUGCCCUUGUUUAAAACCAUCAUCACGAGAGCCCCAUUUGCGCGGCGUCCAUGAUGCGAUGAUGACCUGAAGCAAGAUCCGGACAUUCCAUAUCCUUUCAUCACUACAAUAUUUUGUCUGGCUCGCUGCUGGUAGUUGUAACAGUACUGCGUAUCCUAUGCUGCCAGGGUGAAACUGAGGGAAUGAAUGCCUAGCGCAUGUUAUGAAUCCUCCUACUUACGAAAUUAUCCCUUAAGUCUCUAGAAACACGGUCACGUUUUUAAAGUGCCCAGACAGAAUACUAUGACCGGCCUGCUACUGAUUUGGGGCGUAGCAAAGAACUGACUCGGAUGAAACUGACAUGAAGGGGCCUUGAUCUCAAGGAAGGAGGAGGACGGCAGGCCACUGAAUCCGUGUAUCCUCCCGUGUAGCGAGUAGUCGACACAGGUAGGCAGAUGCGUUCAGUGAGUUUUGUCAUUUCGUUGCUGUCAAACAUUUGGUUCUUUUCAGUAGAGGUAUCAACUUCCGUCGGUCACUACGGAUGGAACAGUGACUUACCUCUAUGUGGUUAGAGGCGACAAGGUGUCGUCGCUACAUAGUAUAUUUG